UACGUAGGGUGCGAGCGUUGUCCGGAAUUACUGGGCGUAAAGGGCGCGUAGGCGGCACUGUUAGUCAGGCGUGAAAUUCCUGGGCUCAACCUGGGGACUGCGCUUGAUACGGCAGAGCUAGAGGAUGGAAGAGGCUCGCGGAAUUCCCAGUGUAGAGGUGAAAUUCGUAGAUAUUGGGAAGAACACCGGUGGCGAAGGCGGCGAGCUGGUCCAUUACUGACGCUGAGGCGCGACAGCGUGGGGAGCAAACACGG
rnacentral:rRNA from 1 species